ACUAAGCGUACACGGUGGAUGCCCUGGCAGUCAGAGGCGAUGAAGGGCGUGCUAAUCUGCGAUAAGCGCCGGUAAGGUGAUAUGAACCGUUAUAACCGGCGAUACCCGAAUGGGGAAACCCAGUGUGAUUCGUCACACUAUCAUUAACUGAAUCCAUAGGUUAAUGAGGCGAACCGGGGGAACUGAAACAUCUAAGUACCCCGAGGAAAAGAAAUCAACCGAGAUUCCCCCAGUAGCGGCGAGCGAACGGGGAGGAGCCCAGAGCCUGAAUCAGCAUGUGUGUUAGUGGAAGCGUCUGGAAAGGCGCGCGAUACAGGGUGACAGCCCCGUACACAAAAGCGCAUGUGCUGUGAGCUCGAUGAGUAGGGCGGGACACGUGGUAUCCUGUCUGAAUAUGGGGGGACCAUCCUCCAAGGCUAAAUACUCCUGACUGACCGAUAGUGAACCAGUACCGUGAGGGAAAGGCGAAAAGAACCCCGGCGAGGGGAGUGAAAAAGAACCUGAAACCGUGUACGUACAAGCAGUGGGAGCNGCUUUGGGGUGGGGUGACUGCGUACCUUUUGUAUAAUGGGUCAGCGACUUAUAUUCUGUAGCAAGGUUAACCGAAUAGGGGAGCCGGAGGGAAACCGAGUCUUAAUUGGGCGUUAAGUUGCAGGGUAUAGACCCGAAACCCGGUGAUCUAGCCAUGGGCAGGUUGAAGGUUGGGUAACACUAACUGGAGGACCGAACCGACUAAUGUUGAAAAAUUAGCGGAUGACCUGUGGCUGGGGGUGAAAGGCCAAUCAAACCGGGAGAUAGCUGGUUCUCCCCGAAAGCUAUUUAGGUAGCGCCUCGUGAAUUCAUCUCCGGGGGUAGAGCACUGUUUCGGCUAGGGGGCCAUCCCGGCUUACCAACCCGAUGCAAACUGCGAAUACCGGAGAAUGUUAUCACGGGAGACACACGGCGGGUGCUAACGUCCGUCGUGAAGAGGGAAACAACCCAGACCGCCAGCUAAGGUCCCAAAGUCAUGGUUAAGUGGGAAACGAUGUGGGAAGGCCCAGACAGCCAGGAUGUUGGCUUAGAAGCAGCCAUCAUUUAAAGAAAGCGUAAUAGCUCACUGGUCGAGUCGGCCUGCGCGGAAGAUGUAACGGGGCUAAACCAUGCACCGAAGCUGCGGCAGCGACGCUUAUGCGUUGUUGGGUAGGGGAGCGUUCUGUAAGCCUGUGAAGGUGGCCUGUGAGGGUUGCUGGAGGUAUCAGAAGUGCGAAUGCUGACAUAAGUAACGAUAAAGCGGGUGAAAAGCCCGCUCGCCGGAAGACCAAGGGUUCCUGUCCAACGUUAAUCGGGGCAGGGUGAGUCGACCCCUAAGGCGAGGCCGAAAGGCGUAGUCGAUGGGAAACGGGUUAAUAUUCCCGUACUUGGUGUUACUGCGAAGGGGGGACGGAGAAGGCUAUGUUGGCCGGGCGACGGUUGUCCCGGUUUAAGCGUGUAGGUGUGUGUUCCAGGUAAAUCCGGUUCACUUUAACACUGAGGCGUGAUGACGAGGCACUACGGUGCUGAAGCAACAAAUGCCCUGCUUCCAGGAAAAGCCUCUAAGCAUCAGGUAACAUCAAAUCGUACCCCAAACCGACACAGGUGGUCAGGUAGAGAAUACCAAGGCGCUUGAGAGAACUCGGGUGAAGGAACUAGGCAAAAUGGUGCCGUAACUUCGGGAGAAGGCACGCUGACACGUAGGUGAAGUGAUUUACUCAUGGAGCUGAAGUCAGUCGAAGAUACCAGCUGGCUGCAACUGUUUAUUAAAAACACAGCACUGUGCAAACACGAAAGUGGACGUAUACGGUGUGACGCCUGCCCGGUGCCGGAAGGUUAAUUGAUGGGGUCAGCGCAAGCGAAGCUCCUGAUCGAAGCCCCGGUAAACGGCGGCCGUAACUAUAACGGUCCUAAGGUAGCGAAAUUCCUUGUCGGGUAAGUUCCGACCUGCACGAAUGGCGUAAUGAUGGCCAGGCUGUCUCCACCCGAGACUCAGUGAAAUUGAACUCGCUGUGAAGAUGCAGUGUACCCGCGGCAAGACGGAAAGACCCCGUGAACCUUUACUAUAGCUUGACACUGAACAUUGAGCCUUGAUGUGUAGGAUAGGUGGGAGGCUUUGAAGCGUGGACGCCAGUCUGCGUGGAGCCGACCUUGAAAUACCACCCUUUAAUGUUUGAUGUUCUAACGUGGACCCGUGAUCCGGGUUGCGGACAGUGUCUGGUGGGUAGUUUGACUGGGGCGGUCUCCUCCUAAAGAGUAACGGAGGAGCACGAAGGUUGGCUAAUCCUGGUCGGACAUCAGGAGGUUAGUGCAAUGGCAUAAGCCAGCUUGACUGCGAGCGUGACGGCGCGAGCAGGUGCGAAAGCAGGUCAUAGUGAUCCGGUGGUUCUGAAUGGAAGGGCCAUCGCUCAACGGAUAAAAGGUACUCCGGGGAUAACAGGCUGAUACCGCCCAAGAGUUCAUAUCGACGGCGGUGUUUGGCACCUCGAUGUCGGCUCAUCACAUCCUGGGGCUGAAGUAGGUCCCAAGGGUAUGGCUGUUCGCCAUUUAAAGUGGUACGCGAGCUGGGUUUAGAACGUCGUGAGACAGUUCGGUCCCUAUCUGCCGUGGGCGCUGGAGAACUGAGGGGGGCUGCUCCUAGUACGAGAGGACCGGAGUGGACGCAUCACUGGUGUUCGGGUUGUCAUGCCAAUGGCACUGCCCGGUAGCUAAAUGCGGAAGAGAUAAGUGCUGAAAGCAUCUAAGNGUCUCCUGAAGGAACGUUGAAGACGACGACGUUGAUAGGCCGGGUGUGUAAGCGCAGCGAUGCGUUGAGCUAACCGGUACUAAUGAACCGUGAGGCUUAACC
rnacentral:rRNA from 1 species